rnacentral:rRNA from 1 species
AGUGAACGCUGGCGGUAGGCCUAACACAUGCAAGUCGAACGGCAGCACAGUAAGAGCUUGCUCUUACGGGUGGCGAGUGGCGGACGGGUGAGGAAUACAUCGGAAUCUACUUUUUCGUGGGGGAUAACGUAGGGAAACUUACGCUAAUACCGCAUACGACCUACGGGUGAAAGCAGGGGAUCUUCGGACCUUUCGCGAUUGAAUGAGCCGAUGUCGGAGUAGCUAGUUGGCGGGGUAAAGGCCCACCAAGGCGACGAUCCGUAGCUGGUCUGAGAGGAUGAUCAGCCACACUGGAACUGAGACACGGUCCAGACUCCUACGGGAGGCAGCAGUGGGGAAUAUUGGACAAUGGGCGCAAGACUGAUCCAGCCAUACCGCGUGGGUGAAGAAGGACUUCGGGUUGUAAAGCCCUUUUGUUGGGAAAGAAAAGAAGCAGGUUAAUACCCCGCUGUUCUGACGGUACCCAAAGAAUAAGCACCGGCUAACUUCGUG